GGACGAACGCUGGCGGCGUGCCUAAUACAUGCAAGUAGAACGCUGAAGAGAGGAGCUUGCUCUUCUUGGAUGAGUUGCGAACGGGUGAGUAACGCGUAGGUAACCUGCCUUGUAGCGGGGGAUAACUAUUGGAAACGAUAGCUAAUACCGCAUAACAAUGGAUGACACAUGUCAUUUAUUUGAAAGGGGCAAUUGCUCCACUACAAGAUGGACCUGCGUUGUAUUAGCUAGUAGGUGAGGUAAUGGCUCACCUAGGCGACGAUACAUAGCCGACCUGAGAGGGUGAUCGGCCACACUGGGACUGAGACACGGCCCAGACUCCUACGGGAGGCAGCAGUAGGGAAUCUUCGGCAAUGGGGGCAACCCUGACCGAGCAACGCCGCGUGAGUGAAGAAGGUUUUCGGAUCGUAAAGCUCUGUUGUAAGUCAAGAACGGGUGUGAGAGUGGAAAGUUCACACUGUGACGGUAGCUUACCAGAAAGGGACGGCUAACUACGUGCCAGCAGCCGCGGUAAUACGUAGGUCCCGAGCGUUGUCCGGAUUUAUUGGGCGUAAAGCGAGCGCAGGCGGUUUGAUAAGUCUGAAGUUAAAGGCUGUGGCUCAACCAUAGUUCGCUUUGGAAACUGUCAAACUUGAGUGCAGAAGGGGAGAGUGGAAUUCCAUGUGUAGCGGUGAAAUGCGUAGAUAUAUGGAGGAACACCGGUGGCGAAAGCGGCUCUCUGGUCUGUAACUGACGCUGAGGCUCGAAAGCGUGGGGAGCGAACAGGAUUAGAUACCCUGGUAGUCCACGCCGUAAACGAUGAGUGCUAGGUGUUGGAUCCUUUCCGGGAUUCAGUGCCGCAGCUAACGCAUUAAGCACUCCGCCUGGGGAGUACGACCGCAAGGUUGAAACUCAAAGGAAUUGACGGGGGCCCGCACAAGCGGUGGAGCAUGUGGUUUAAUUCGAAGCAACGCGAAGAACCUUACCAGGUCUUGACAUCCCGAUGCUAUUUCUAGAGAUAGAAAGUUACUUCGGUACAUCGGUGACAGGUGGUGCAUGGUUGUCGUCAGCUCGUGUCGUGAGAUGUUGGGUUAAGUCCCGCAACGAGCGCAACCCCUAUUGUUAGUUGCCAUCAUUCAGUUGGGCACUCUAGCGAGACUGCCGGUAAUAAACCGGAGGAAGGUGGGGAUGACGUCAAAUCAUCAUGCCCCUUAUGACCUGGGCUACACACGUGCUACAAUGGUUGGUACAACGAGUUGCGAGUCGGUGACGGCGAGCUAAUCUCUUAAAGCCAAUCUCAGUUCGGAUUGUAGGCUGCAACUCGCCUACAUGAAGUCGGAAUCGCUAGUAAUCGCGGAUCAGCACGCCGCGGUGAAUACGUUCCCGGGCCUUG
rnacentral:rRNA from 1 species